GCCCAACACUGGCACUGCCGUACACUCACCACUAACAACACACACGAUACAGUCCGGGGGGCGAAAAACGCCGGCUGACUACUCUGGGUGUUUAAAAAGCAUGGAUACACAACCUUCUGCGAUCCAAGAGUCCAACGGUAGCAUCUUUUGCCUGGGCCAGACCUUAUCACAAGCCACUACAACAAACAUGGCGGGGAGGAGAACAGGUUCACGAACCCCCCAUGUCUCAACCUGCGAAGCCAUAAAACUAACGAGACAAUGCAACGGAUAGUAAAAAGAGCAACUAACGAGGUUAUCAAAACGCCCACAACAGGUACAAUUCCUUAGAAACCUUCUCAAAGCAAACACGAAAGUUUAAAAAACGAACCAAAAAGGUCGUGGUAGAUUCUUUUCCGGACGUGCUCCGCAACGCGCCGUCCUUGCGAUCUGCAGCAGCACGUCCACGGAUUCUUCUGCACGAUGGACCAC
rnacentral:misc_RNA from 1 species